rnacentral:tRNA from 1 species
UGCUCCCAUGGGGUAGUGGUAACCCUCCUGGUUCUCAGCCAGGCGUCCCGAGUUCGAUCCUCGGUGGGAGUGC